CCUACGGGAGGCAGCAGUAGGGAAUCUUCCGCAAUGGACGAAAGUCUGACGGAGCAACGCCGCGUGAGCGAUGAAGGCCUUCGGGUCGUAAAGCUCUGUUGUCAGGGAAGAACAAGUACCGGAGUAACUGCCGGUACCUUGACGGUACCUGACCAGAAAGCCACGGCUAACUACGUGCCAGCAGCCGCGGUAAUACGUAGGUGGCAAGCGUUGUCCGGAAUUAUUGGGCGUAAAGCGCGCGCAGGCGGUCCUUUAAGUCUGAUGUGAAAGCCCACGGCUCAACCGUGGAGGGUCAUUGGAAACUGGGGGACUUGAGUGCAGAAGAGGAAAGUGGAAUUCCACGUGUAGCGGUGAAAUGCGUAGAGAUGUGGAGGAACACCAGUGGCGAAGGCGACUUUCUGGUCUGUAACUGACGCUGAGGCGCGAAAGCGUGGGGAGCAAACAGGAUUAGAUACCCUGGUAGUCCACGCCGUAAACGAUGAGUGCUAAGUGUUAGAGGGUUUCCGCCCUUUAGUGCUGCAGCUAACGCAUUAAGCACUCCGCCUGGGGAGUACGGCCGCAAGGCUGAAACUCAAAGGAAUUGACGG
rnacentral:rRNA from 1 species